UUAAGUUUGAAAAGUUUUGCACAAAAUAAAACACUUUUUCAUCCAAUAGGCCUGCAGUCCUUGCCUAUGGUAUGUGGGACCAGGUACGAGUAGAUCAUGGCAAGGAGUUUUAUUUGACACUUUUCAUGCAGGAGCUGCUGUCAUCUCACCGCCAUAAUCAGGAGCGAAGGCCAUAUUUACAGACUUCAUCCACAAAGAAUCAUAUAGUUGAACGAAUCUGGCCUGAAGUCAACAAUCGUGUCAACUAUCCACUGAAGACAGCACUUAUGGGGUUGGUGGAUCAAGAGGAAAUAGACAUGAACGACAGCCUUGUGAGAUAUUGUGUGUCCAACCUUACUGGCCGCUUGUGUGAGAUUGGUCUUACAAGGCUGGUGGAGUCAUGGAAUGCUCAUAGAAUUCCAGGUAAAGGAACACCAAAUGACUUGGCUGGCCGUGGGUGUCCCAAAAAAAUCCAACAGGAACUCUUGCCUCAUUCAGCUGAAGCAGCAGACCUUUACAGCCAACAGCUGGGAUCAUCACUGACCAGGCUUUCAACUUUUGGAGUGGAUCCAUUUUCAACUGAACAGGACAAGAUUACAGUUGAGAACCAGUUUGCCGAGCAUUAUUCAGACAUUUCAGAAUUGUAUUCUAGAGCAGUGAACAAUGACUUUGCCCCAUACAAACAGGCAUUGCUCUGUCUUAUAACCACAACUCAGUGCAAUGUGUGAAAAGCCAUUAGCUCUAUUUAACUUGAAGACGGUUAACUUGAAAUUCGUUUGUGUAAAAAUUCAACAUGUUACUCCUCUUCAUAAAGGGAUCUCAGAACAGAAAAUGUCUCUGACAGACCAUUAAUUUCAUAUAUGGUGUUGUUUGCAGUGUUCCCUCUACAUUUUGCACAGUGCACAGAGGUCUCCUGCCACUGUACCACACGUUUUGCAGCCAAUAAUGCUCCGGCAACACUCGGUGAAGACUGGCUUCUCGAUGAAUUCUAAAAGACAAAAUGAGGAAAAACUAGUCAUUCUGUGUGUAUGUGUGUGUGUGUGUGUUUCCAUAUGACCUUAACUCUUAACCAGCACCCCCUAUUUUUUGAGAAUUUUCUGAAAAUGACAUAACCAACUACAAAUGUUUGUAGCUCUUUAACCCUAUAGUCCACAUUCAUAACUGGUCUUUUUUUAAACUAGACACUUUAAACUUUGUUACCCGAGAGUAAUUAUAAUUCAAAGUAGCAAAGAAACAGAGUUAAACGAGGUAAACAUUUUACAUGAAAGUUACUUACGAUUUCUUUGAAGGAACUUAACUUAGGGAAACAUUUAUCAGACUUUUAUGUUAAAGGCCUGAAAACAACAACAACGAUCAAAUAGAAUAUCUGGACCAUGUUUUGAUUCAAAUUUGAGGAUGAAACUCCCAGACCCAACAAUUUAGUUUCUGUUAGCUUUUAUUCAUGAAAAGUAAAGGUGUCCUUUCUAAAAGGCCAAAUGGAGAGCUUGCAAUCGAUUUUGGUUGGUUAUUACUCCCAUCAAUCAAAACUUUGCUGACUAGGUUUGAAAACCAUUGGCUUGGUUUUCAAACCUUUUAACUACUUUUAUGAAUUUUAUAAUAUUGUAUAUAAUAUUGUCUCAAUAUUUUAAUACGUUUUAUUCAAGUAAUGAUAAAAAAAAAAGGAUUAAAUAAAUGUUAAAGCGGAAAUAAGAUAGCUGUAAAGUAAUCUCUGGUUUUAACUCCCUCACUUUCAUGCAAGCUCAGUCCUCUAGGCAUUGAAUUGUGGUAAAUAGUGCUUCAG
ensembl:lncRNA